rnacentral:rRNA from 1 species
GACAGAGGUGCCGAGCGUUAGGCGGAAUCACUGGGCUUAAAGCGUGUGUAGGCGGGUCGUUAAGUGCCUUGUGAAAUCCCACGGCUUAACCGUGGAACUGCUGGGCAUACUGGCGAUCUUGAGCCAGCUAGGGGCAACCGGAACAAACGGUGGAGCGGUGAAAUGCGUAGAUAUCGUUUGGAACGCCAAUGGUGAAAACAGGUUGCUGGGGCUGUGCUGACGCUGAGACACGAAAGCCAGGGGAGCGAACGGG